rnacentral:lncRNA from 1 species
AAAGAGGGGGUCAGACGUUGAAGGUGAAAGUCGCCAAAAAGUGGCGGAACGCUCUCGAAACCAAUUCACUUGAGUGAGAUAGAGGAGAGUGGAAUUUUGUGUGUAGGGGUGAAAUCCGUAAAUAUACGAAGGAACGCCAAAAGCGAAGGCAGCUCUCUGGGUCCCUACCGACGUUGGGGUGCGAAUGCAUGGGGAGCGAACAGGAUUAGAUACCCUGGUAGUCCAUGCCGUAAACGAUGAGUGUCCCCCAUGAAUUCUUC